GGGCGAAAAAUUUCAAAAUUGAGCUUGCAGACGUCAGUUUAAUUAAUCUAACUUUCGCAUAGUUCAACCUUGAUAACUUGUUUUAUUUUUAUUUAUUUAUUUAUUUAUUUAUUUAUACUAUUUUUUCGGUCACAUUCUGAUCAGCCUGAACCGUUUAACUGGUCAUUUUUUUAUUUCAAAAUUUGAUUUAAACAUGUCCGUUUUCGAGAAGUUUAUUUCGCACUAAUAAUUUUGGUGCAUUCACUUUAUUUUAUUUUUAUUUUGUGCCCAAUUUUUGUUCAUUUUUUAUCCGAUUAUUUUUUCCUUUUUAGCAAAUAUAAUUAGUAGGUUUAUUUAGAAUUAAUCAUGUUCGUUUUAAUCUUUUAAUUUUAUUAUAUUUAUAUACUUUGUUUUUAAGCUUUUUGUAAGAAAUAUAUAAUUUUAUUUUAAAAAUUUUAAUUUUAUUAUAUUUAUAUACUUUGUUUUUUAAAACUUUUUGUAAAAAAUAUAUAAUUUUUUAUUUUUAAUUUUUUAAUUUUAUUACAUUCAUAUAUUUUAUUUUUUAAAGAUUUUUCUUAAAUAAAGAAUUUUAU
rnacentral:lncRNA from 1 species